rnacentral:rRNA from 1 species
UUAGGAAUCUUCCACAAUGGGCGAAAGCCUGAUGGAGGGACGCCGCGUGAGGGAUGAAGGCCUUAGGGUUGUAAACCUCUAAAAGAGGGACGAUAAUGACGGUACCUCUUGAAUAGCACCGGCUAACUCCGUGCCAGCAGCCGCGGUAAUACGGAGGGUGCAAGCGUUAUCCGGAAUCACUGGGCGUAAAGGGCGCGUAGGCGGUCUGUUAAGUCCGAUGUUAAAUCCCGGGGCUCAACCCCGGAUAAGCGUUGGAUACUGGCAGGCUAGACGGUUGGAGAGGCGAGUGGAAUUACCAGUGUAGCGGUGGAAUGCGUAGAUACUGGUAGGAACACCCAUUGCGAAGGCAGCUCGCUGGACAACACGUGACGCUGAGGCGCGAAAGUGUGGGGAGCAAACC